GCUAUUAUGAUCAGUUUUCACCCCAUCUUGUAGGUGGCGGCAUGCACUUCUAACGUUUGUUUGCGGACCUCCAUAAUACAAUAGAAGAAACAAGUAUGGAACGUGCUGAGUUGAAUAGCAAGAAAACGAAUUGAAUUUGCUGAUCAGUGCACUAGCUGACAGCAACAAUUGUGCAACUUCAAUUUACUAAAGAUACUUUACCAGAUUCUGUGAGCAAUGACUUUCUGAACAUUAACAAAUUCAACGAGCAGCAAUUUACAAGUCUGACUGAGAUUGUUUUCAAUUUCCUGUUGGAGCCAAAAGAGACGACCAGGCUCUUGCAGCAGCUGAGUGAGUUUGCAGAGGAGAAUGGGAUGAGUGCAGGCCCUCUGAGAAACCGUAUGAAGAGUUUCAUGCUGCUUCCCUGUGGUGAGACUGACAGACAGCACUCACAAAUAAAGAGAUUUAGAAAUAACUUGUGUAUACAACGUGAAAUACACCUAAACCAAAAUAUGGUAAAGAGUCCAGCACAUAUCUUAGUAUAUUAGUAUAUCAAUUAGUAUAUCACUUUUAAAAAGUUUUGCAAAUUUUAAUGAAAUAAAAAAACUGAAAUAACUUAUUUACAUAAGUAUUAAGACCCUUUGCUAUGAGACUCUAAAUUGAGCUCAGGUUCAUCCUGUUUCCAUUGAUCAGCCUUGAGAUGUUUCUACAACUUACCUGUGGUAAAUUCAAUUGAUUGGACAUGAUUUGGAAAGGCACACACUUGUCUAUAUAAGGUCCCAUGGUUAACAGUGCAUGUCGGAGCAAAAACCAAGCCAUGAGGUCGAAGGAAUUGCCCGUAGAGCUCAGAAUCAGGAUUGUGUCGAUGCACAGAUCUGGGGAAGGGUACCAACACAUUUCUGCAGCAUUGAAGGUCCCCAAGAACACAGUGGCCUCUAUCAUUCUUAAAUGGAAGAAGUUUGGAACCACCAAGACUCUUCCUAGAGCUGCCCGCCCGGCCAAACUGAGCAAUGGGGGGAGAAGGGCCUUGGUCAGGGAGGUGACCAAGAACCCGAUGGUCAUCUGACAGAGCUCCUCUGUGGAGAUGGGAGAACCUUCCAGAAAGGCAACCAUCUCUGCUGCACUCUACUAAUCAGGCUUUUAUGGUGGAGUGGCUAGACAGAAGCCACUCCUCAGUAAAAUGCACAUGACAGCCAGCUUGGAUUUUUGCCAAAAGGCACCUAAAGCACUCUCAGACCAUGAGAAACAAAAUUCUCUGGUCUGAUGAAACCAAGAUUGAACUCUUUGGCCUGAAUGCCAAGCGUCACGUCUGGAGGAAACCUGGCACCAUCCCUACGGUGAAGCAUGGUGGGGGCAGCAUCAUGCUGUGGGGAUGUUUUUUAGCAGCAGGGACUGGGAGGCUAGUCAGGAUUGAGGGGCAAGAUCAACAGAGAAAAGUACAGAGAGAUCCUUGAUGAAAACCUGCUCCAGAGAGCUCAGAACCUCAGACUGGGGCUAAGCUUCACCUUCCAACAGGACAACAACCCUAAGCACACAGCCAAGACAACGCAGGAAUGGCAUCGCGGCAAUUCUCUGAAUGUCCUAGAGUGGCCCAGCCAGAGCCUGGACAUGAACCUGAUCGAACAUCUUUGGAGAGACCUGUAAAUAGCUGUGCAGCGAUGCUCCCAACCAGCCUGAGAGGGCUUGAGGGGAUCUGCAGAGAAGAAUGGAAGAAACUCCCCAAAUACAGGCGUGCCAAGCUUGUAGCAUCGAGGCUGUAAUCACGGCCAAAGGUGCUUCAACAAAGUAUUGGGUAAAGGGUCUGAAUACUAAAUGUGAUAUUUCAACAAAACAUUUUUUAUACAUUUCUAAACAUUUCUGAAGACCUGUUUUUACUUUGUCAUUAUGGGGUAUUGUGUGAAGAUUGAGGGAAAAUGCCAUUCAAUACAUUUUCGAAAUAGGCUGUAACAUAAGAAAAAGUCAAGGGGUAUGAAGACUUCCCGAAUGCACUGUAAAAUGUGUUCGAUUUAAUUAUGUGGUUACAGCAACCUAAAAUGGACAAAGUACAUGUUGUAAGUUUAUUUUAACUCAAAACCAAGAUUGGAAGAAAAACAUUCUAGGUGCCCUGAAGAAAAAUCUGACGGCAGACCAAGUCUAAGGAGACCUUCUGGCUUUAGGAUUCAAUGAUGCCAAGGCAGCCCAUUUUUCACAACAGUGGAGCAGCCACUACCCUGUGUUGUCCAGGCUGGCUGAAGGGCAGACUCUUAUGGUCAACCAGCAGGUUGACAUGGAGUGGAAGUUUGAUGAGUUGACCCUCCCCCGGUUUUACAACUACCUCAGUGAAAUGGAGAGGGCCAAAGCCAGUAUGGACUGCUUCAGCUGAGCUUUAUCACCAGUAACAUGAGAAUGUACUGAAUGUGUCCUUGAGGGACAGGAGGAAACACGAAUGGAGUUGCCAGCGACAGUGGUUGACAUUGGGUCUGCCCGAAAUGGCAUACUGUUCCCAUUACAGGACAAUACUUUUGAACGGGGGCAAAGUAGUGCACUAUAUAGUGAAUAGAGUGCAAUUUGGGACGUACAAUGAGUUCAAAAUAGAACAUACAGAAUCUGAAGGAAACGUCCAGAUUCUCACAUACCAUUAAAUUAUUUCAAUGUUUUGUCUUUUGAAAUGUGCACAGUUGUUUUUCGCAGUAGAGAGUUUUGUGUGCGUGAGAAAGUCUUCGCGGGUGUGUUUUGAAUUGUAACCCAAUGACUUUAAUUCCAUUGGCUGUCACUACAAGUGAUGUGAGGCAUACACGUAACUGUUUUUUUGUUGUUGCAAUCUUUAAUCAUUUGUAUCACAGAUUUGCUUCAGUUCAUUUUGUCUGUUUUAAUGAAGUAUUCAGAUGUCAUAUUGGUCUGCUGUAGGUAUUCACAUAAUGAUGAAUGAAUGCUAGAAAUACUGAACAAUAUCCUCAGACAAUUACACAGCAAGAUUAUUACGCUGACAUAGAAGAUACUAUUGAAUUGGCUCUAAUAACAGGUUUCGGUAGCUAUUCCACUGACAGCAUAAUGAGAGAGAGGGGCAUGUGCAUACUAGUUGUCACACCAUCCUACUUCUGUACCUUAAUUAUCCAACUAGUCGCAUCAAAUGUACACCCAAAUAUUUUCUACUGUCAUUUGAGCCCGCAGCAAUGACCUGCCAUGUGUGGGCAUUCUACAUUCAUUCAAUGUUUUGAAAGUGUUUCGCGAAAUAAGAGCUUGAAGCAGAAAACAACCUAACACUGCCUGCAUUGCUUGAUGCUUACAUUGUCAUAAUAACCAAUAGGAUGUUGAUCAGAAUACGUGGUAUGUUUUUGGAGAAAUACAAGCUUGGAAAAUG